UGGCCUUGACAUGUCGAGAACUUUCCAGAGAUGGAUUGGUGCCUUCGGGAACUCGAACACAGGUGCUGCAUGGCUGUCGUCAGCUCGUGUCGUGAGAUGUUGGGUUAAGUCCCGCAACGAGCGCAACCCUUGUCCUUAGUUGCCAGCAUUAAGUUGGGAACUCUAAGGGGACCGCCGGUGACAAACCGGAGGAAGGUGGGGAUGACGUCAGCCUAUCGAGA
rnacentral:misc_RNA from 1 species